UAGGAAUUAAAUGAAUUGUUUUAUUUGUAGUUAUUAAUGAGAAAUGAAAAAUAGUUAUUAGUUUUAUUUACUCCUCCUUCUACUCUAGAUUAGAUCAGGAAUCCUCACACAAAAAUAUUACAGUGAUCCUAUAUACAAAACUCUAAGCAGUGAACAAGAGGCACAAUGCUUCAGCUAAUAAGACCUUUGGCAGCACAAAGUCAUGGAGGCCUUAUGAGAGGAGUCAUCACUAAGAAAAUAAAGUAUAGAGGGAGAUUGGUAACUUUGGCAGCAGUAUUUGGUAUGAAAGGUAGAUUAAUGAGAUUAAGUUAAGGAAAAGAUGAAGUAUUUGAGGGAGAUAUAACAAAUAUUGGCUCUAGAAUAAGAAGACAAUGUAAAGCCAUAAUCAAAAAAGAACAAAAUACCUUUUGGGGGGAUGGAAUUGGAGUCCAAUGACAGAGUACUAGGAUAAGCAAAUCUGAUCAAAUAUGAAUAAAUUCUGAAUUCAUUACUUACUGAUAAAAAGACUUGUUCAAAAUCUGUAUGCCUGAUUCAUAAAUCUGUAUAGAUGCUAUAUUGGCCUCUAGGUUCUCAAAACUCCCAAACUUUUCCCCAUUUCUGAAGGCAAUAUCCAUUUUCUCAUUUAUUUCUCCUACCUUACUUCGUUUCUUCCCCUUCCACCAUUUAAGUUCUCCAAUAUCUGUUUAAUCAGUCUCUUAGAUUAAAUGUUCUCUGUUGCGAUAGCUAAUGUAGUUUGUUUUUCUAACUAAACUGUCACUGAUACCAAUCCUCCUUCAUUCUUCAUUCUCUUCUCAGUUACCUCAAGAAAAGACAAAGCAAGAUUCUGAUGCGUUUGUGGUGGCUCACUCAACUCUCUUCAAUCUACCUGAUAAUCCUGAGAGAACCCAAUUCAUGGCAAAGGCAUUCGGGGCCAGAAUCAAUAUGACCAGAGUGGGAGUCACAAGUGGAGAACACGUUUAUGCUGAAUAUAUGUAUGACUCGUAUCUUACUGUGUCAUUGUCAACUUCUUCUUCAUGUGUCUCAUGUAAGUGUAUCCUGGAUGUUUGUUACUUCUUGGUCUUUUUUUCUGUCAGUUUGGUACCGACAUACUCUACUUAUAUUAUUUAUGUUUAA
rnacentral:lncRNA from 1 species